GGAGUAGCUCAGUUGGUAGAGCACCGGUCUCCAAAACCGGGUGUCGGGAGUUCGAACCUCUCCUC
rnacentral:tRNA from 2 species